AAGUCGUAACAAGGUUUCCGUAGGUGAACCUGCGGAAGGAUCAUUAACACGUAUCCAACGUUAAACCCCCUGUGAACAUUGACCCCACUACCAUGUAAUCGCCUCGUAGGAAACUGCUGGGCAUCAAACGAACAACUGUUAACAAUGGAUAUCUUGGUUCUC
rnacentral:misc_RNA from 1 species